CUCGAAAAGAGUGUAUCAGGGUGUCCGGGUGAAGCACACUGUAAAAGAUCUCCUGGCAGAAAAGAGGUCACGUCAGACAAGCGGCCCGCGCUACACCGGUGUUUCAUCUCCUCCAAAUCCAUUUGUUCAAAUGACUGGUUCUCACAUGCUCCCGAGUUACUACGGCAUGAGAAGACCUUUCAUUUCAGAGACAGAGUUCUGCUCCUCAACAAAAGCAUUUUCUGCGGACGUUUACCCCUCUUCACUUACUGGGAAAUCUCUCUCGUGUGAUAGCGGAUGCGUGACUGGUUAUUCGUCUCUCAUAGAAAGCUACUAUCCUGAGUCUUUUGGAGAUUAUCGCAGCACUUCUUUCUCUAGUGGAGGAAGCACAAUCUUCUCACCCUCUGCAUUGUCCUCUUUGCUGCCUUCUUACUCAAGUGACCCUUCACAUUAC